rnacentral:rRNA from 1 species
UACGUAGGGGGCUAGCGUUGUCCGGAAUCAUUGGGCGUAAAGAGCGUGUAGGCGGCCCGGUAAGUCCGCUGUAAAAGUCAAAGGCUCAACCUUUGAAUGUCAGUGGAUACUGCCGGGCUAGAGUCCGGAAGAGGCGAGUGGAACUCCUGGUGUAGCGGUGGAAUGCGCAGAUAUCAGGAAGAACACCAACGGCGAAGGCAGCUCGCUGGGCCGAUACUGACGCUGAGGAGCGAAAGCGUGGGGAGCAAACAGG